rnacentral:misc_RNA from 1 species
CAGAGUUGAGAGACUCCCAAACCACUGUGAACAUACCCGUGCCGUUGCUUCGGCGGGCGGCCCCUGGGAGGGGCCGCAGUCUCCAACGCGGAGGCGCCCGCCGGAGGACCCAAAACAUAACUAUAACUUAGUGGCCCCUCUGAGCGACAGCGCAAUAAUUA